rfam:Operophtera brumata OBRT01_Sc07727, whole genome shotgun sequence.
CACUAGGCCCUUCUCAGGGCCACCAUACAUAAGCUGAUCUUUAACCG